AGGACGAACGCUGGCGGCGCGCUUAACACAUGCAAGUCGAGCGAGAACCAGUCCUUCGGGACUGGGGACAGCGGCGAACGGGUGAGUAACACGUGGGUAAUUUACCCUCGAUUCUGGGAUAGCCCGGGGAAACCCGGAUUAAUACCGGAUAGCCUCUCGAGCUUACGAGCUCGUGAGAAAAGGUAGCUUCGGCCUCCGAUCGAGGAUGAGCCCGCGGCGGAUUAGCUUGUUGGUGGGUAACGGCCUACCGAAGGCGACGAUCCGUAGCUGGUCUGAGAGGACGAUCGGCCACACUGGGACUGAGACACGGCCCAGACUCCUACGGGAGGCAGCAGUGGGGAAUCUUGCGCAAUGGGCGAAAGCCUGACGCAGCGACGCCGCGUGGGAAGAAGGCCUUCGGGUUGUAACCUCUUCAGCAGGACGAGCCACUCGGUAAUAGCCCAGAGGUGACGGUACCUGCAGAAGAAGCCCGCUAACUACGU
rnacentral:rRNA from 1 species